rnacentral:rRNA from 1 species
UACGAAGGGGGCUAGCGUUGUUCGGAAUUACUGGGCGUAAAGCGUGCGCAGGCGGCUUUGCAAGACAGAUGUGAAAUCCCCGGGCUCAACCUGGGAACUGCAUUUGUGACUGCAAGGCUGGAGUACGGUAGAGGGGGAUGGAAUUCCGCGUGUAGCAGUGAAAUGCGUAGAUAUGCGGAGGAACACCGAUGGCGAAGGCAAUCCCCUGGACCUGUACUGACGCUCAUGCACGAAAGCGUGGGGAGCAAACAGG